CGCGUAGGCGGCUUUAUAAGUCAGAUGUGAAAUCCCACGGCUUAACCGUGGAAGUGCAUUUGAAACUGUGAGGCUUGAGUAUCGGAGGGGAGUGUGGAAUUCCCGGUGUAGAGGUGAAAUUCGUAGAGAUCGGGAGGAACACCGGUGGCGAAGGCGACACUCUGGACGAAUACUGACGCUGAGGCGCGAAAGCGUGGGGAGCAAACA
rnacentral:rRNA from 1 species